rnacentral:lncRNA from 1 species
AGGACAUCCUAACACACCACAAAAACAUCGGAGAGACAUGCAGCCACACAACGGAGGGUGGAGAGGCUGGAGCUCCCCUCGGAGGACCUGGAAAGGGGAAGAUUAGCCCUGAGCUAACAUCUGCUGCCAAUCCUCCUCUUUUUUGCUGUGGAAGCCUGGCCUUGAGCUAACAUCCGCGCCCAUCUUCCUCUACUUUAUAUGUGGGAUGCCUACCACAGCAUGGCAUGCCAAGCAGUGCCAUGUCCACACCCGGGAUCGGAACCAGCGAACCCCAGCCGCCAAGAAGCAGAACGUGGGCGAUUGACUGCUGCGCCACCGGGCCGGCCCCUGCUUAAUAUUUUAAAAGAUGGAUGAUGGUGGCCAGAGAGACACUAAGGAGAAUGUCCAGCUCUAGGCCUCAGACGCCCUGCAGAGUCAGAGGGAAGCCAGGAAAGGCUGGUGAACUAGCAGGAAAUGACACUCAAACGUGGGAUGUCUCUUCCCUCCAUCUCUGUAAAGUCCAUACCUUUGAGAACAAGCCACACUCCACCUCACCUGUGAAAUUUUCCCUGACUCUUUUGGCCGCCAUGGACCUCUUCCUCCCGCAGUUCUCUUUAAUAAUUAAGAGUAAGCACCCUUCCAUGUCUCUCCUCUUUUGGAAACUAUCUGAUCAUAUACUCUGCCUGUUUAUUCACUGAAGCCUCAGGGUGUUCCUUUUGAAUCGAUUUAUGGAAGUUCUUUCUGCAGCUGACUUCAAAUAUUUCCCCAGGUUGUUUACCUUUUUAUUUGGGUUACCUCUUAUUUUUUUUAACAUGAAAAAAGGUUAAAAUACUUCUACAGUCAAGUCAGUUAACCUUUGUGAGUGCUUCUAUGCUUCUAAGAUGGAAAAUUACUUCCUUCCAGAGAUUUGAUAAAUAGUUUUAGUGUCUCUGAAGUUUUCUAAAGCUCUUUAGUCCCUCUGGAAAGUACAUGGUAUACAAUGUGAGGAAA